AUUGAACGCUGGCGGCAUGCCUUACACAUGCAAGUCGAACGGCAGCACGGGAGCAAUCCUGGUGGCGAGUGGCGAACGGGUGAGUAAUACAUCGGAACGUGCCCAGUAGUGGGGGAUAGCCCGGCGAAAGCCGGAUUAAUACCGCAUGAGACCUGAGGGUGCACGCGGGGGAUCGCAAGACCUCGCGCUAUUGGAGCGGCCCAUGUCAGAGUAGCGAGUUGGUAGGGUAAAGGCCUACCAAGGCAACGAUCUGUAGUUGGUCUGAGAGGACGACCAGCCACACUGGGACUGAGGCACGGCCCAGACUCCUACGGGAGGCAGCAGUGGGGAAUUUUGGACAAUGGGCGCAAGCCUGAUCCAGCAAUGCAGCGUGCAGGAAGAAGGCCUUCGGGUUGUAAACUGCUUUUGUCAGGGAAGAAAUCUUCUGGGCUAAUACCCUGGGAGGAUGACGGUACCUGAAGAAUAAGCACCGGCUAACUACGUGCCAGCAGCCGCCGUAAAAC
rnacentral:rRNA from 1 species